AUAUCUCGGCUCUCGCCACGAUGAAGAAUGUAGCGAAAUGCGAUACUUAGUGUGAAUUGCAGAAUCCCGUGAAUCAUCAAGUCUUUGAACGCAAGUUGCGCCCGAGGCCUCGGGCCAAGGGCACGUCUGCUUGGGCGUCGCACUACA
rnacentral:rRNA from 1 species